rnacentral:rRNA from 1 species
UGUGCCUUCGGAACCGUGAGACAGGUGCUGCAUGGCUGUCGUCAGCUCGUGUUGUGAAAUGUUGGGUUAAGUCCCGCAACGAGCGCAACCCUUAUCCUUGUUGCCAGCGGUCCGGCCGGGAACUCAAAGGAGACUGCCAGUGAUAAACUGGAGGAAGGUGGGGAUGACGUCAAGUCAUCAUGGCCCUUACGGCCUGGGCUACACACGUGCUACAAUGGUCGGUACAAAGGGUUGCCAAGCCGCGAGGUGGAGCUAAUCCCAUAAAACCGAUCGUAGUCCGGAUCGCAGUCUGCAACUCGACUGCGUGAAGUCGGAAUCGCUAGUAAUCGUGAAUCAGAAUGUCACGGUGAAUACGUUCCCGGGCCUU